GAAAUGCGAUAAGUAAUGUGAAUUGCAGAAUUCAGUGAAUCAUCGAAUCUUUGAACGCAUAUUGCGCCCUUUGGCAUUCCGAAGGGCAUACCUGUUCGAGCGUCAUUACACCCCUCAAGUCGAACCUUUUGGUUAAACUUGGUGUUGGGCCUUGCCGGAAGGCAUGCCUAAAAAUUAGCGAUGGUACGUUAAACCACGGACGCACAAAUGUCGUUACGUAGGGGCCACGGCACCAGUCUCUUGAUUAAUUUCUCAAUGUUGACCUCGGAUCAGGUAGGAAUACCCGCUGAACUUAA
rnacentral:misc_RNA from 1 species